AGUCGUGCGGGAAAGUAUCUUCGGAUAUGAGUAGAGCGGCGGACGGGUGAGUAACGCGUAGGAAUCUACCUAGUAGAAGGGGAUAGCCCGGGGAAACCCGGAUUAAUACCGUAUACCUCCUUCGGGAGAAAGAAGGCCUCUCUUUGAAGCUUUCGCUACUAGAUGAGCCUGCGUAAGAUUAGCUAGUUGGUGAGGUAAUGGCUCACCAAGGCUACGAUCUUUAGCUGGUCUGAGAGGACGAUCAGCCACAUUGGGACUGAGACACGGCCCAGACUCCUACGGGAGGCAGCAGUGGGGAAUAUUGGACAAUGGGCGCAAGCCUGAUCCAGCCAUACCGCGUGUGUGAAGAAGGCCUUCGGGUUGUAAAGCACUUUAAGCAGGGAGAAAAAGUUAUAGGUUAAUACCCUAUGACCUUGAUGUUACCUGCAGAAUAAGCACCGGCUAAUUCCGUGCCAGCAGCCGCGGUAAUACGGAAGGUGCAAGCGUUAAUCGGAAUUACUGGGCGUAAAGCGCGCGUAGGUGGUUUGUUAAGUUGGAUGUGAAAGCCCUGGGCUCAACCUAGGAACUGCAUCCAAAACUAACUCACUAGAGUACGAUAGAGGGAGGUAGAAUUCAUAGUGUAGCGGUGGAAUGCGUAGAUAUUAUGAAGAAUACCAGUGGCGAAGGCGGCCUCCUGGAUCUGUACUGACACUGAGGUGCGAAAGCGUGGGUAGCGAACAGGAUUAGAUACCCUGGUAGUCCACGCCGUAAACGAUGACAACUAGCUGUUGGGAGACUAUGUC
rnacentral:rRNA from 1 species